AGCAGCCGCGGUAAUUCCAGCUCCAAUAGCGUAUAUUAAAGUUGCUGCAGUUAAAAAAGCUCGUAGUUGAAUUUCGGGACUAAUAUGUCGGUCGUGCCUCGGUACGUACUGGCUUAUUGGUUUCUCCUUUCUGAAGAACCAUGAUGUCAUUUAUUUGGUGUCGUGGGGAAUCAGGACUGUUACUUUGAAAAAAUUAGAGUGUUUAAAGCAGGCUUACGCUUGAAUACAUUAGCAUGGAAUAAUGAAAUAGGACGUUUGAUUCUAUUUUGUUGGUUUCUAGGAUCGACGUAAUGAUUAAUAGGGAUAAUUGGGGGCAUUAGUAUUCAAUUGUCAGAGGUGAAAUUCUUGGAUUUAUUGAAGACUAACUACUGCGAAAGCAUUUGCCAAGGAUGUUUUCAUUAAUCAAGAACGAAAGUUAGGGGAUCGAAGACGAUCAGAUACCGUCGUAGUCUUAACCAUAAACUAUGCCGACUAGGGAUCGGAUGAUGUUAAUUUUUUUAAUGACUCAUUCGGCGCCUUA
rnacentral:rRNA from 1 species